rnacentral:rRNA from 1 species
GACGAACGCUGGCGGCGUGCUUAACACAUGCAAGUCGAACGGAAAGGCCCCAGCUUGCUGGGGUACUCGAGUGGCGAACGGGUGAGUAACACGUGGGUGAUCUGCCCUGCACUCUGGGAUAAGCCUGGGAAACUGGGUCUAAUACCGGAUAGGACCGUGCUUUAGUGUGUGCGGUGGAAAGUUUUUCGGUGCAGGAUGAGCCCGCGGCCUAUCAGCUUGUUGGUGGGGUAAUGGCCUACCAAGGCGGCGACGGGUAGCCGGCCUGAGAGGGUGUACGGCCACAUUGGGACUGAGAGACGGCCCAGACUCCUACGGGAGGCAGCAGUGGGGAAUAUUGCACAAUGGGCGCAAGCCUGAUGCAGCGACGCCGCGUGGGGGAUGACGGUCUUCGGGUUGUAAACCCCUUUCGGCAGGGACGAAGCUUUUGUGACGGUACCUGCAUAAGAAGCACCGGCUAACUACGUG